CAUAGUCCCAGCUUGCUGUUAUGCUUCCUCUGUCUAACUUCCUGCGUGGCCCUGCCUGGCAGCCUUCUCUCUUUAGGAGCUAGUCUGAGUCUUGCCAGUUUGCCUACUCUGGUCUGGAACUCUCGGGCUCAAGCAACCCUCCCACCUUGGCCUCCCAAAGCGUAAGGAUUACAGCCUACUCCACCUGAAGAUGAGAAGGAUGAAGAUGAUCCACUUCCACUUAAUAAAUAAUAAAUAUAGGAUCUGGGUGUGGUGGCACAUGCCUGUAGUCCCAGCUACUCAGGAAACAGAGACAGAAGGAUUGCUUGAGCCCAGAAAUUCGAGUCUAGACUU